UGAGGAAUAUUGGUCAAUGGAGGCAACUCUGAACCAGCCAUGCCGCGUGCAGGAAGACUGCCCUAUGGGUUGUAAACUGCUUUUAUACAGGAAGAAACGGUCUCUCGUGAGGGAUUUUGACGGUACUGUAAGAAUAAGCACCGGCUAACUCCGUGCCAGCAGCCGCGGUAAUACGGAGGGUGCAAGCGUUAUCCGGAAUCAUUGGGUUUAAAGGGUCCGCAGGCGGUCAAUUAAGUCAGAGGUGAAAUCCCACAGCUUAACUGUGGCACUGCCUUUGAUACUGGUUGACUUGAGUUAUACGGAAGUAGAUAGAAUGUGUAGUGUAGCGGUGAAAUGCAUAGAUAUUACACAGAAUACCGAUUGCGAAGGCAGUCUACUACGUAUAUACUGACGCUCAUGGACGAAAGCGUGGGGAGCGAACAGG
rnacentral:rRNA from 1 species